UCGCCUAAUGGUAAGGCAACUGUCUCGAAAACAGUCUAUGCAGGUUCAAUUCCUGUG
rnacentral:tRNA from 5 species